rnacentral:rRNA from 1 species
AUUGAACGCUGGCGGCAUGCCUAACACAUGCAAGUCGAACGAGUGGCGGACGGGCGGGUAAUGCAUGAGAACCUAGCUUACCGAGCGGUAUAACUGCGGUAACCUGUCGAUAAUACCGCGUACCAUAGUAUCAGCCCACGUGGGAUUAGGUACUGGUGGAGGUAAAGGCUCACCAAGCCGACGAUCCAUAGCUGGUCUGAGAGGAUGACCGGCCACACUGGGACUGAGACACGGCCCAGACUCCUACGGGAGGCAGCAGUGGGGAAUAUUGGGCAAUGGGCGAAAGCCUGACGGAGCCAUGCCGCGUGAAUGAAGAAGGCCUUCGGGUCGUAAAGCACUUUUGGUAGGGAGGCGGUACCUACCGAAGAAGCAACGGCUAACUCCGUGCCAGCAGCCGCGGUAAUAC